rnacentral:rRNA from 1 species
AUUGAACGCUGGCGGAAUGCUUUACACAUGCAAGUCGAGCGGCAGCACGGGGGCAACCCUGGUGGCGAGCGGCGAACGGGUGAGUAAUACAUCGGAACAUGCCCAGUCGUGGGGGAUAACACUUCGAAAGAAGUGCUAAUACCGCAUACGUCCUGAGGGAGAAAGCGGGGGAUCUUCGGACCUCGCGCGAUUGGAGUGGCCGAUGUCAGAUUAGCUAGUUGGUGGGGUAAAGGCCUACCAAGGCAACGACCGGUAGCUGGUCUGAGAGGAUGAUCAGCCACACUGGGACUGAGACACGGCCCAGACUCCUACGGGAGGCAGCAGUGGGGAAUUUUGGACAAUGGGGGCAACCCUGAUCCAGCCAUUCCGCGUGAGUGAAGAAGGCCUUCGGGUUGUAAAGCUCUUUCGGCAGGAACGAAACGGCGAGCUCUAACAUAGCUUGCUAAUGACGGUACCUGAAGAAGAAGCACCGGCUAACUACGUGCCAGCAGCCGCCGUAACAC